AUUGAACGCUGGCGGCAUGCCUUACACAUGCAAGUCGAACGGCAGCACGGGUGCUUGCACCUGGUGGCGAGUGGCGAACGGGUGAGUAAUACAUCGGAACGUACCUUAUCGUGGGGGAUAACGCAGCGAAAGUUGCGCUAAUACCGCAUACGCUCUGAGGGGGAAAGCGGGGGACCGUAAGGCCUCGCGCGAUUAGAGCGGCCGAUGUCUGAUUAGCUUGUUGGUGAGGUAAAAGCUCACCAAGGCGAUGAUCAGUAGCUGGUCUGAGAGGACGAUCAGCCACACUGGGACUGAGACACGGGCCAGACUCCUACGGGGGGCAGCAGUGGGGAAUUUUGGACAAUGGGGGCAACCCUGAUCCAGCAAUGCCGCGUGAGUGAAGAAGGCCUUCGGGUUGUAAAGCUCUUUUGUCAGGGAAGAAACAGCAGCUCUAACACAGUCUGCGAAUGACGGUACCUGAAGAAUAAGCACCGGCUAACUACGUGCCAGCCGCCGCGGUAA
rnacentral:rRNA from 1 species